rnacentral:rRNA from 1 species
GAUGAACGCUAGCGGGAGGCUUAACACAUGCAAGUCGAGGGGCAUCGCGGUGCAGCAAUGCACUGGCGGCGACCGGCGUACGGGUGCGUAACGCGUAUGCAACCUGCCCCGCACCGGGGGAUAGCCCGCCGAAAGGCGGAUUAAUACCCCAUGGUCCCGGGGGCCCGCAUGGGCAUCCGGGUAAAGCCUUGGCGGUGCGGGAUGGGCAUGCGUGCCAUUAGCUGGCUGGUGGGGUAACGGCCCACCAGGGCAACGAUGGCUAGGGGGUCUGAGAGGAUGGUCCCCCACACUGGUACUGAGACACGGACCAGACUCCUACGGGAGGCAGCAGUGAGGAAUAUUGGUCAAUGGGCGGAAGCCUGAACCAGCCAUGCCGCGUGCGGGAUGAAGGCCCUACGGGUUGUAAACCGCUUUUCCCCGGGAAGAACUAAGCCCCCGCGGGGGUGAGUGCCGGUACCGGGGAAUAGGAUCGGCUAACUCCGUG